rnacentral:rRNA from 1 species
GAUGAACGCUGGCGGCGUGCCUAAUACAUGCAAGUCGAGCGAACAGACGAGGAGCUUGCUCCUCUGACGUUAGCGGCGGACGGGUGAGUAACACGUGGAUAACCUACCUAUAAGACUGGGAUAACUUCGGGAAACCGGAGCUAAUACCGGAUAAUAUAUUGAACCGCAUGGUUCAAUAGUGAAAGACGGUUUUGCUGUCACUUAUAGAUGGAUCCGCGCCGCAUUAGCUAGUUGGUAAGGUAACGGCUUACCAAGGCAACGAUGCGUAGCCGACCUGAGAGGGUGAUCGGCCACACUGGAACUGAGACACGGUCCAGACUCCUACGGGAGGCAGCAGUAGGGAAUCUUCCGCAAUGGGCGAAAGCUUGACGGAGCAACGCCGCGUGAGUGAUGAAGGUCUUCGGAUCGUAAAACGCUGUUAUUAGGGAAGAACAAAUGUGUAAGUAACUAUGCACGUCUUGACGGUACCUAAGCAGAAAGCCACGGCUAACUACGU